UCAACCAGUAUCUCCUUAUACUCAUCGGCGCUGCAUUCCAUGUCAGUAAAAGUGAUUUUCUGUUCCCCUAAUCCACCAUCCAAAAGCGCUUCACGCUCCCACAUAGUCCCUGGAAUUUUGGACUGGUCACUUCUAGCAAGACAAUAGAAUGCAUGUGUCCAGCAUGUGCUUGCUUUUUGCUUCUUUUUGCCAGAGCCCACAGAAAAUAAUUUACGCUUCUUGCCAGCGUUUUAAGGUGCAAAAUUGAAUUUUUGCUCUUGGCCUAUCUCUUCCUUCACAUUCUUUAGAGUUUUGAGAGCCUUUUUCUGUAGGUCUCCUAUGACGUCAUCUAUAUAAUUAAUUAUAGGGACGAUUUAGCAAGGUAGUUUAGGCUAAAGUCUAGUCUAUGGGAAACAGGUAUUUGGUUGGUUUUAUACGUUACAAUACUCCUUGAAGUAGAAGUCUGCCCUACUGGAUGAUGAUGGAUUGCUCUGUAGAGAACUAAGGAGCUUAACAGCCUCCGCAACUUUAUCGAGAUCUUGUUUAGAGGUAGACAUGAGGUAGGUACCAAACAGUAAGUAUUUACUCUGAUUUGACCCUUGCACUUUGAACCUUUUACUCUAAAUAAAGUCCUUGCACUUUAACCUUUUGCUCUAAAUAAAGUGUGUGUUCCCUGAGCGCGUUAUCUAACCGUGUAUUGCUUGAGCGCGUCUUCUGAGCGCGUCUUCUGAGCGCGUUGCCUGAGCGCGUUCAGAACGCGUCUUCUGAACGUGUGUUGCCUCAGCACGUUUACUGAGCGCGUCUUCUGAGCGGGUUUCCUGAGCACGUUUUCUGAGUGCGUUGCCUGAGCGCGUCUUCUGAACGUGUGUUGCCUCAGCACGUUUACUGCCUCAGCACGUUUACUGAGCGCGUCUUCUGAGCGUGUGUUGCCUUAGCACGUUGCCUGAGCGCGUCUUCUGAGCGUGUGUUGCCUGAGCGCGUUGCCUGAGCGUGUCUUCUAACCGUGUGUUGACAUGAGUUUAUAUUCCCUUAUUUUUGACCCAAAUGGCCCUCCAUACAGGCAAGGCUAUUACAUUUUCCAUAUGAACAACGAGCAAGUGUGAGAUUGCAUCGCCACGAAAUCCACAACACAACCUCCACAACAUGGAAUUGAAUUUUGAUGGAGCGUGGCGGUGGAUUAAGACGAGAGCUGCUUCUGGAGCAACUGCUUCUGGAGUUGCAUACUGGACUGAAUAUGGCGCUUUAAUAGAUGGUGCCCUGGACCAUGUGCCAACAUUGGGAGAUUUAUUUGUUACGUUAUGACUGUCCAUUGUUUCAGUAAAGACUAUAAUUUGUGGACAAAGUGUGGACAAAGUGUGAUUUGUGAUGAAGAGCUCCGGAAGUCUUUUCCAGAUUUAUUGACCCGUUCGAAGUGCAAGCAGUAAAAGCUCCUAAUGAAGAGGCUCUAGUAGGUUCAAUGCUUUGCAUGUACUUGCCCUUCUACCUUUGUGUGAGGAGUUGUUGAUCAUUUGUACGAUGCCGUCUGUCCCUCGUGUUUUGAGGAGCCUACCAUUACCAAGUUACGAGAAGAUGCCCCCUGAAAUGCUUGCCCAUUCACAAGCAGGUUUUUCUCGUAGGCCUACGUCAAACACUUGCUCAACUGUGCUUUAUCACAUAUGAGUCUCACCUUACCAUGUGCAAAGGGGUUAAAGGUUAAAUUAAUUCAGCAUAAGUCAGGUAUAAGUCAGUAAGUCAGCAUUCUUCACUUGUGUAUAAGUCAGCACACUAGUCAGCAGCAUACUUGUGUAUAAGUCAGCUGCAUAUCGUGUGGAUCGUGUGGUGGUGGAAAUAUCCCACCAAAAUUAUGCCGUCCCACUGUGCCGAAAUCGUCAUUGCAUGCAAGUUUAUAUUUAUACUACAUGCUGCAUGUGUUCGUGUUCAUGCCUCAUCAAGCGAACAGUACCCUCGCGAAAAUAAGCCCAUCCCCUCUUUUGCUUCAAAGUUCUUGCACGAGGGUAUUUGUAUUUUCACUUGAUUAUAAGCCCACCCAGAAUAAGAACUGAAUGCCACAUGUUUACUAUUAAUUUUAGUGAAGAAAGGAAGUUUUAGGUAGUAGCUAGUAACUCCUUGCUGGACCAAGAUCAGACAUUAUAACUUUCUCUUUCUCUGUAUGGAUCUGUUUGCCCCUGAAGAUGUAUAUGCGUAGUCCUAUAUGCUGAGAAAGGAAACACAAAGUCUAAGAAAGUUAUUACAUAGGCUAAUUUUGCAGGUUACCUUGCCUUGGUUUUCUGAAACAGUAUGACCUACCAUCCUUCGAGAAGUUUCUGCUACAUCUAACAUCAACAGCAACAAAUAGAGUCAGACUCAGAGUCCACUUCUUCAUGUUCAUUCUCUUUAAUCAUACUCAUGCAUUAGUCAUACUCAUGCAUUAGUUUAUAACUUGUCAAUAAAAAUAAUGUUCAUACUAUGUAUUAAAAUGAAAGUAUUAACCCUUUCCCCGUUGAAGCCGUCAUAUGACGGCCACUCUAGUGGUCAUUUUCAAAAAUUUGUUGUGCCCGCUGUGUUGGAGCUAUGCACACGCUGUAGGUACCAGCACAUGCGCAUUGAGCUGCUCUUUCAUGUGGUAUAUUUAAUAUCUUGCCUUGAGGUACGCUUUGCACAGUACUGCUCAAAGAAAAGUGACCACAUGUGACUAAUCGAUAAUGGCUUCGAGAUCUUCUUAGUACAACCUCAGUGAGGUUCUAGGGCAGCUAGACAGUGAGGAGAACGAUGCUUAUGGCCUUGUUGAGUGAGAGGACAGUGACUGGGAUCAUAGCUAGAUAAGAAACUACCUCAAGCUAGAAAAUAUAGAGCCUGAGGAACCUGAUGAAGAAGCUCUUGGGAUGGACUGAGUUCCUGGAUCUGGCGAAGAAAACAUUUCCCGGGAAAAUGGCGUCUGCCGAUGUGACCUCACAGACAAGUUUCUGCUGAUCCUGCUUGAACCAUGUCUCCGUGAGAACAUUGAGAACACUUAUUCAGUGUCUUUAGUCACUUUGUGCCUUCAUACAAUAUUGUUUGUGUACAUAAUUGUAAAUGUUUGUAAACAAUCGCUAAUUAGGGGGGUGGUCAGUUGCUAGGUAACGAUGAUGGUGUCAAGAUACCUCUGGGGUCUGCGCUACCUGUAGGAAAUAGUUACAAGUCAUUUCAAUGUAUGGUUCAUGAUAUAUGAAUUUUUAAAGAAAAACUGUAUUUAUUCUGUAUUUUCUUUUUU